GAUGAACGCUGGCGGCGUGCUUAAUACAUGCAAGUCGAGCGAACGGACGAGAAGUUUGCUUCUCUGAUGUUAGCGGCGGAUGGGUGAGUAACGCGUGGAUAACCUACCUAUAAGAGUGGGAUAACUUCGGGAAACGGGAGCUCAUACCGGAUAAUAUUUUGCACCGCAUGGUUGAAAAGUGAGAGACGGUCUUGCUGUCACUUAUAGAUGGAUCCGCGCUGCGUUGGCUAGUUGGUAAGGUAACGGGUUAUCAAGGCAACGAGGCAUAGCCGACAUGAGAGGGUGGUCGGCCACCCUGGAACUUGGACACGGGCCAGGGGCCUACGGGAGGCAGCAGUAGGCAAUGGGCCGCAAUGGGCGAAAGCCUGACGGAUCAACGCGGCGCGAGUGGUGAAGGUUUUCGGAUCGUGAAACGCUGUUAUUAGGGGAUAACAGAUGUGUAAGUGACUGUGCACAUCGUGACGGUACCGAGUAAAAAAGCCACGGCUAACUACGUG
rnacentral:rRNA from 1 species